UGUUUGAAUUGUACCUGUAAUGGAAAUUUUGUUUACUUAAUCUUGGUAACGGGGUUUGAAAUGUAAGAUUUAUUGAUUAAGAGAUAACAUAUUGUAAACUGUACUUCAACAUUUAGAUAAAAUACAAGGUAUAGCGUGUUUCUACACUUUUAUUAUUGGUAAGAAUAUUUCAAUUAAAUAUAAAUUUAAUUUUCUGUUUCGGUUUGACUGCAAUUUGAAAUGUAUCAUUAAUGUAUACGUUUGAACAUCAGUGAAAUAUUCAUUGGUGCUAUUGUUUUUGACAUAUUAUACGACAGUCAUACUUCAAAGAAAUAAUUUAUGAAAAAAAAUUUAAAUCAAGAAAAUCUCGUUACAAAUCAGUAUGUAUUAUCACUUAUCUAUUUGAAAUAAAUACCAUGAACAUAUGAAAAUUGUUGCUGUUUUGAAUUGGUACAGCGAUUUGAGAACCAAUGUACAAUACCUGCUUAUUAUAUAAAGAUUAGUUCACAGUGCAUGAUCAAUGAGUCUUCAACAAAUCAUAAUUAUUCGCACCAAAUGCUUUAACCGAAUCAUUUCGUAUGGACUGUAUUAUUUUUCUUUCAAUGCUUCUUUUCAGCAUACCUCCAGUUGAUUGGUUAUCCUUUCUUCUACUGAUUCAUUCAACACUAAGGCCAACCCGUGUAAUAUGAAUCCUACUAGCACCAACACUUGCAAUAUUAAUCCUACUAGCACCAACAGUUGUAAUAUGAAUCUUUCAUCCGUCGAAACGAUUGAUGCAGAAACACGAGGUUUCCGUGUUAAGACACUUCGAAUACUUGGUGGUACACAGAUAGGACUUGGAAUUGUAUGCGCUAUCUUGAGUUUAGUAGGCGUGAUUUUUGAUGGUGUAAGAAUGAACAAAAACUGUCCACAUAGCUACUCGUACUCGUACGAUCCACAGUACGGCUCUUAUCAUGGUAAUGGAUAUUAUACUGGCUGUCACUAUUUCCAAUCUUCAACGUUAUUCGGAUUCAAUAUCACAUGUUUGAUUUUUUCAGGAUGGGUAAGUAAGUUACUGGUUCUGCAUGCAAUGAUUAUGUGUUUAACAUAUAUGUACUUACAUUUAUUAGAUCUAGAUAUUUCAAUCCUUACCUUUCAAAUUAAUGCAUGCAUUUAUACUAUUAUUCGGUCUAGAAAUAGUAAAAACAUUUUACACUGAUAUGUCUUUCGUCCGAAACGUUUUUACAUGAUGUCGAUUACUUUAAAAUGCAAUUAAUUACAUAACGUUGCUAAAUUGAUUAUAAUAUUUAAAAUAAUAAUAUGUUGACCAUUAAAGCUUUUUAAUUUCAAUGCUGUUAUUCCAAAAUAUUCUGUUAACUUAAAUUGGAGUUAAUAUUAGAUAUGUUCAAUCAAAGAACACAAUAUGCUUUCAAAUCAUAUUCUUUUAAGACAAUGAAACAUUUGGAAAUGUAAAAAUAAAUAAAUCACACAUUUUAACUCUACAUGCUUCAACACUGAUCCAUCAUAGCGUAUACUAGUUGGAUUUUUUUUUCAUUCAUGUUUCACAUCCUAUAUAUUUUUUAUUGCCUGCCAAAAACUUUUUCAUUUGCAAAUUUUGUAAUCAGCAAGUAAUCAUAUGAAUAAAAUCUUGAAGUAAACUAAAUGUAAUCAUGAUUUCACCAGAUUUUCACACUGUUAUCGAUUACAUAACGUUUACUUGUAAUCAGAAAUUUCAUGAAUACUUUGAUAACAUAGAAUUACAUUGCAAAUUGUAAUCGAUUAAAGCUGAUUAAGAUUACUGAUUACCAUUACCCAUGUGUUGCCCAUACGUACAUAUUUUUCUGACUGCGAGGCCGGACAACAUUAAAUAUUAAUCUUGAAUAAUGCGUGCAUAUAGGAAAAGCGCAAAAACCAAAUUUAUAGGAGUUGGAUUAAACAUGCCUGAGAUCGAGCUUACAAAGAUCUCUCGAAAUGAGCACAACUAGACCACUUAAGGAUGUUUGGUUGUCAUGUUUUGGAUUUUUUGUCAGAUUUUCGGAAUCCUCUAGUUUUAUCCAUUUGAAUGCCUUAAAGUUUUUUGCCCAUGGACCCCCUUUUAUAAAUUUUUAAAAUGCAUAAUUAUAUAGAUAUAGGAAGAUGUGGUGUGAGUGCCAAUGAGACAACUCUCCAUCCAAAUAACAAUUUAUAAAAGUAAACCAUUAUAGGUCAAUGUACGGCCUUCAACACGGAGCCUUGACUCACACCGAACAACAAGCUAUAAAGGGCCCCAAAAUUACUAGUGUAAAACCAUUUAAACUGGAAAACCAACGGUCUAAUCUAUAUAAAAAACAAGAAACGAGAAACACGUAUAAAUUACAUAAACUAACGACAACUACUGUGAAUCAGAUUUUUGACUUAGGACAGUCAGGUGCAAACAUUUGCAGCUGGAUUAAACGUUUUAAUGGUAACCUUCUCCCUUUUUCUGAAACAAUAGCAUAACAUCACAACAUAGAAAACACACGAUAAAAUAUCAAUUGCCAUUUGUAAAAGUCGUUUAAAAUCUUAUUUAUAUUUUAAUAGUGUUUGAGAACUUUAACUUGUCAAUAAUAAAGCUAUGACAAAUCAAGAGAGACCAUUUUCCUGCCACAAUUCCAAUGGGUAAUAUUUCGAAAACAAGCACAUUGACCCCUUAAUUAUUUUGUUUUUUUUUUAUUCCUCAAUUAAUCCCCUAUCAAUAUAUACUAGUGUUAUGGAUAGCUAUUUAUUUUGAAACUGAGUAGCGAACUUCCUUACGACACUAUAAUACAGAUACCUUUCAACUGUCGAUUACUUAUGUUGACCACUGGAUUGUCUUAUAAUACCAUAUAUACUAGUAAUAUAUUUUGUAUAACGAGAAAUCGUACUAGUAUCAUAAUACAUUAUGUUUGUAUUUAAAUUUGUUUAGUGCCUGCUCACUGGAUUAUUUCCCUUCUGCAUGAACAAGAAAAGACGAAGUAGUU
rnacentral:lncRNA from 1 species